GAUGAACGCUGGCGGCGUGCCUAAUACAUGCAAGUCGAGCGAACGGACGAGAAGCUUGCUUCUCUGAUGUUAGCGGCGGACGGGUGAGUAACACGUGGAUAACCUACCUAUAAGACUGGGAUAACUUCGGGAAACCGGAGCUAAUACCGGAUAAUAUUUUGAACCGCAUGGUUCAAAAGUGAAAGACGGUCUUGCUGUCACUUAUAGAUGGAUCCGCGCUGCAUUAGCUAGUUGGUAAGGUAACGGCUUACCAAGGCAACGAUGCGUAGCCGACCUGAGAGGGUGAUCGGCCACACUGGAACUGAGACACGGUCCAGACUCCUACGGGAGGCAGCAGUAGGGAAUCUUCCGCAAUGGGCGAAAGCCUGACGGAGCAACGCCGCGUGAGUGAUGAAGGUCUUCGGAUCGUAAAACUCUGUUAUUAGGGAAGGACAUAUGUGUAAGUAACUGUGCACAUCUUGACGGUACCUAAUCAGAAAGCCACGGCUAACUACGUG
rnacentral:rRNA from 1 species